rnacentral:rRNA from 1 species
AUUGAACGCUGGCGGCAGGCUUAACACAUGCAAGUCGAGCGGGGUGAUGGUGCUUGCACUAUCACUUAGCGGCGGACGGGUGAGUAAUGCUUAGGAAUCUGCCUAUUAGUGGGGGACAACAUCUCGAAAGGGAUGCUAAUACCGCAUACGUCCUACGGGAGAAAGCAGGGGAUCACUUGUGACCUUGCGCUAAUAGAUGAGCCUAAGUCGGAUUAGCUAGUUGGUGGGGUAAAGGCCUACCAAGGCGACGAUCUGUAGCGGGUCUGAGAGGAUGAUCGGCCACACUGGGACUGAGACACGGCCCAGACUCCGACGGGAGGCAGCAGUGGGGAAUAUUGGACAAUGGGGGGAACCCUGAUCCAGCCAUGCCGCGUGUGUGAAGAAGGUCUUCGGAUUGUAAAGCACUUUAAGUUGGGAGGAAGUGCAGUAAGUUAAUACCUUGCUGUUUUGACGUUACCGACAGAAUAAGCACCGGCUAACUCUGUGCCAGCCGCCGCUGUAA